rnacentral:rRNA from 1 species
CCUACGGGCGGCAGCAGUAGGGAAUCUUCCACAAUGGGCGAAAGCCUGAUGGAGCAACGCCGCGUGGGUGAAGAAGGUCUUCGGAUCGUAAAACCCUGUUGUUAGAGAAGAAAGUGCGUGAGAGUAACUGUUCACGUUUCGACGGUAUCUAACCAGAAAGCCACGGCUAACUACGUGCCAGCAGCCGCGGUAAUACGUAGGUGGCAAGCGUUAUCCGGAUUUAUUGGGCGUAAAGGGAACGCAGGCGGUCUUUUAAGUCUGAUGUGAAAGCCUUCGGCUUAACCGGGGUAGUGCAUUGGAAACGGGUGGACUUAGGUGCAGAGGGGGAGGGUGAAACCCCAGUGU